rnacentral:piRNA from 1 species
AUGGACGACAUGGAUGUGGACUUAG